GCCGAGGGUCCUGGUCCUGUUGGCAGUGAGGAGCCAUGGAGGGGUCCUGGGCCUGGUCAGAGGAGCAGGAGGCUCCAUUCCUCCCGCUGCUUGUGGCCCUGGCUGAGCUUGGAAGAGCUUGGAAGAGGAGUCAGGGUUCUGGGCUCUGCGUCUUUGCAAUGGGGACAGUGACUCCUGCCCCUCCUGGUCCACAGACAAGUGGGCCAGGUGCCUCCUCUUUCCCCUUCCACCCUCCCCCCCAAC
rnacentral:lncRNA from 1 species